AACGAACGCUGGCGGCAGGCCUAACACAUGCAAGUCGAGCGGACCUUUCGGGGUCAGCGGCGGACGGGUGAGUAACGCGUGGGAAUAUGCCCUUCUCUACGGAAUAGUCCUGGGAAACUGGGGGUAAUACCGUAUACGCCCUUUGGGGGAAAGAUUUAUCGGGGAAGGAUUAGCCCGCGUUGGAUUAGGUAGUUGGUGGGGUAAUGGCCUACCAAGCCGACGAUCCAUAGCUGGUUUGAGAGGAUGAUCAGCCACACUGGGACUGAGACACGGCCCAGACUCCUACGGGAGGCAGCAGUGGGGAAUCUUAGACAAUGGGGGCAACCCUGAUCUAGCCAUGCCGCGUGAGUGAUGAAGGCCUUAGGGUUGUAAAGCUCUUUCAGCUGGGAAGAUAAUGACGUUACCAGCAGAAGAAGCCCCGGCUAACUCCGUG
rnacentral:rRNA from 1 species